rnacentral:miRNA from 1 species
GUAUUAGGUUGGUGCAAAAGUAAUUGCAGUUUUGGCCAUUAAUGGUUUUGUCAUGGAAAAAACUACAAUUACUUUUGCAUCAACCUAAUA